GACGAGGGGUCCAAGCGUUGUUCGGAAUCAUUGGGCGUAAAGCGGGUGUAGGCGGCUCUAUAAGUCAGAAGUGAAAGCCCCGAGCUUAACUUGGGAAGUGCUUUUGAUACUGCAGAGCUUGAAUGUGGGAGAGGGUAGUGGAAUUCCUGGUGUAGCGGUGAAAUGCGCAGAUAUCAGGAUGGAACACCGGUGGCGAAGGCGGGUCUCUGGGCCGUAACUGACGCUGAGGAGCGAAAGCAUGGGGAGCGAACAGG
rnacentral:rRNA from 1 species